rnacentral:pre_miRNA from 1 species
UGAAAGCAGGUCCCAAAUGCCUUGGUGGUUUUUCGCCGUAGUGAUACAACAUCGAAGCCAUACGAUAUCACCGGGUGAAAAACUCCCAAGGUCGGGACUCUGCAUUUUUAUUUGU